CUCUUUGUAAUUAGGCUUGACUAUAUGAUCAGGCUUCUCUAUGUCAUCAAUCUUCUCUUUGCCACCAUCAUUAAGCUUCUCUUUGUAAUUAGGCUUUACUACAUGAUCAGGCUUCUCUAUGUCAUCAAUGUUCUCUUUGUCACCAUCAUUAAGCUUCUCUUUGUAAUCAGGCUUUACUUUAUGAUCAGGCUUCUCUUUGUCAUCAAUCUUCUCUUUGCCACCAUCAUUAAGCCUCUCUUUGUAAUUAGGCUUUACUAUAUGAUCAGGCUUCUCUAUGUCAUCAAUCUUCUCUUUGUCAGCAUUAAGCUUCUCUUUGUAAUUAGGCUUUACUAUAUGAUCAGGCUUCCCUAUGUCAUCAAUCUUCUCUUUCCCACCAUCAUUAAGCUUCUCUUUGUAAUUAGGCUUUACUUCAUGAUCAGGCUUCUCUAUGCCAUCAAUCUUCUCUUUGUCAGCAUCAUUAAGCUUCUCAUUGUAAUUAGGCUUUACUUUAUGAUCAGGCCUCUCUAUGUCAUCAAUCUUCUCUUUACCACCAUCAUUAAGCUUCUCUUUGUAAUCAGGCAUUACUUUAUGAGCAUGCUUUUUUUCAGGAUCAGGUUCUUCUAGCUCACGCCACAUGGAUUGCAGUUUAUGAUCAGGCUUGACCUUGUCCUCAG
rnacentral:lncRNA from 1 species